UWMGGUGGUGGAUUAGUGGCGAACGGGUGAGUAACACGUGGGCAAUCUGCCCUUCACUCUGGGACAAGCCCUGGAAACGGGGUCUAAUACCGGAUAACACUCUGUCCUGCAUGGGACGGGGUUGAAAGCUCCGGCGGUGAAGGAUGAGCCCGCGGCCUAUCAGCUUGUUGGUGGGGUAAUGGCCUACCMAGGSGAMSRMSGGKWRSCCGGCCUGAGAGGGCGACCGGCCACACUGGGACUGAGACACGGCCCARACUCCUACGGGAGGCAGCAGUGGGGAAUAUUGCACAAUGGGCGAAAGCCUGAUGCAGCGACGCCGCGUGAGGGAUGACGGCCUUCGGGUUGUAAACCUCUUUCAGCAGGGAAGAAGCGAAAGUGACGGUACCUGCAGAAGAAGCGCCGGCUAACUACGUGCCAGCAGCCGCGGUAAUACGUAGGGCGCAAGCGUUGUCCGGAAUUAUUGKKCKUAAMSMGCUCGYASGCGGCUUGUCACGUCGGAUGUGAAAGCCCGGGGCUUAACCCCGGGUCUGCAUUCGAUACGGGCUAGCUAGAGUGUGGUAGGGGAGAUCGGAAUUCCUGGUGUAGCGGUGAAAUGCGCAGAUAUCAGGAGGAACASCGGUGGCGAAGGCGGAUCUCUGGGCCAUUACUGACGCUGAGAGCGAAAGCGUGGGGAGCGAACAGGAUUAGAUACCCUGGUAGUCCACGCCGUAAACGUUGGAACUAGGUGUUGGCG
rnacentral:rRNA from 1 species